rnacentral:lncRNA from 1 species
GGGAUUACAAGGUGGCGGCCAUUUUGCACAUUUUGCACAUACCGCAAGCUCGUCGCAACUCCACAGCAGAAUCGAUGGUCCCGUGAAUCUCGUUAGGCAGGUAAAAUGCAGGUGGCCUCCAACCAACAUCAGGUCUACACUACAGACCAAAGUGCUGCGCUGGGACUGCGAGGAGGCCCUCAGGUACAGUAUGAGGCAACAAGCUGUCACCUGCCCUUGUGGAUCAUAAAGAAGAGCGUGAUAAGGUGUGGUGAGGCAGGUACUUCGAAAUAACCAUGGGCUGGUGUUACAGCUGUCAAGCUCGUUUUGGGUUCCGUACAACCUGAAGUAGGCCACCAAACUUAUACUGUCGGUAUCCAACAUUUAUCACCUAAUCCUCCCCUAAUAGAAACUGUUGGUUCUUGGUUGCCCUUGCCCUUGCGUACUACCUGCAGAGUCUCAAGAGGUUAACCCCCUGACAC